GAUGAACGCUGGCGGCGUGCCUAAUACAUGCAAGUCGAGCGAACAGACGAGGAGCUUGCUCCUCUGACGUUAGCGGCGGACGGGUGAGUAACACGUGGAUAACCUACCUAUAAGACUGGGAUAACUUCGGGAAACCGGAGCUAAUACCGGAUAAUAUAUUGAACCGCAUGGUUCAAUAGUGAAAGACGGUUUUGCUGUCACUUAUAGAUGGAUCCGCGCCGCAUUAGCUAGUUGGUAAGGUGACGGCUUACCAAGGCAACGAUGCGUAGCCGACCUGAGAGGGUGAUCGGCCACACUGGAACUGCGACACGGUCCAGAUUCCUACGGGAGGCAGCAGUAGGGAAUCUUCCGCAAUGGGCGAAAGCUUGACGGAGCAACGCCGCGUGAGUGAUGAAGGUCUUCGGAUCGUAAAACUCUGUUAUUAGGGAAGAACAAAUGUGUAAGUAACUAUGCACGUCUUGACGGUACCUAAUCAGAAAGCCACGGCUAACUACGUG
rnacentral:rRNA from 1 species